AGAGUUUGAUCCUGGCUCAGAUUGAACGCUGGCGGCAUGCUUUACACAUGCAAGUCGAACGGUAACAGGGGAGCUUGCUCCCGCUGACGAGUGGCGAACGGGUGAGUAAUGCAUCGGAACGUGCCGAAUAGUGGGGGAUAACGCACCGAAAGGUGUGCUAAUACCGCAUACGCCCUGAGGGGGAAAGUGGGGGACCGCAAGGCCUCACGCUAAUCGAGCGGCCGAUGUCGGAUUAGCUAGUUGGUGGGGUAAAGGCUCACCAAGGCGACGAUCCGUAGCGGGUCUGAGAGGAUGAUCCGCCACACUGGGACUGAGACACGGCCCAGACUCCUACGGGAGGCAGCAGUGGGGAAUUUUGGACAAUGGGGGAAACCCUGAUCCAGCCAUGCCGCGUGUCUGAAGAAGGCCUUCGGGUUGUAAAGGACUUUUGUCCGGGAGGAAACCCUGAUCGUUAAUAGCGGUCGGGACUGACAGUACCGGAAGAAUAAGCACCGGCCAACUACGUGCCAGCAGCCGCGGUAAU
rnacentral:rRNA from 1 species